rnacentral:rRNA from 1 species
GAUGAACGCUGGCGGCGUGCCUAAUACAUGCAAGUCGAGCGAACAGACGAGGAGCUUGCUCCUCUGACGUUAGCGGCGGACGGGUGAGUAACACGUGGAUAACCUACCUAUAAGACUGGGAUAACUUCGGGAAACCGGAGCUAAUACCGGAUAAUAUAUUGAACCGCAUGGUUCAAUAGUGAAAGACGGUUUUGCUGUCACUUAUAGAUGGAUCCGCGCCGCAUUAGCUAGUUGGUAAGGUAACGGCUUACCAAGGCAACUAUGCGUAGCCGACCUGAGAGGGUGAUCGGCCACACUGGAACUGAGACACGGUCCAGACUCCUACGGGAGGCAGCAGUAGGGAAUCUUCCGCAAUGGGCGAAAGCUUGACGGAGCAACGCCGCGUGAGUGAUGAAGGUCUUCGGAUCGUAAAACUCUGUUAUUAGGGAAGAACAACUGUGUAAGUAACUAUGCACGUCUUGACGGUACCUAAUCAGAAAGCCCCGGCUAACUACGUG